rnacentral:rRNA from 1 species
CACUCCUGCGGGAGGCAGCAGUGGGGAAUUUUGGACCAUGGGCGAAAGCCUGAUCCAGCAAUGCCGCGUGAGUGAAGAAGGCCUUCGGGUUGUAAAGCUCUUUUGUCAGGGAAGAAACGGUGAAAGCUAAUAUCUUUUGCUAAUGACGGUACCUGAAGAAUAAGCACCGGCUAACUACGUGCCAGCAGCCGCGGUAAUACGUAGGGUGCAAGCGUUAAUCGGAAUUACUGGGCGUAAAGCGUGCGCAGGCGGUUUUGUAAGUCUGAUGUGAAAUCCCCGGGCUCAACCUGGGAAUUGCAUUGGAGACUGCAAGGCUAGAAUCUGGCAGAGGGGGGUAGAAUUCCACGUGUAGCAGUGAAAUGCGUAGAUAUGUGGAGGAACACCGAUGGCGAAGGCAGCCCCCUGGGUCAAGAUUGACGCUCAUGCACGAAAGCGUGGGGAGCAAACAGGAUUAGAAACCCCGGUAGUCCCAUGAU